UCUCACCUCUGCACUUCUCCGCAGAGGAUGUUCCCUGAUGCCUGUAGCUAUCACCAUCCUCGCAGGAUCUGGGGUGCACGCCGGCAGAGGCGCCUCUGCAGUGCUCCCUGGGGGAUUCUUGGGUAGACAGGGAAAAAGAAUAAUAGUCAGUGUGUGAAACUCCCAGGCGAGGGCAGCUCCAUGCAUUUAUUCACACGAGAGAUGCAGACGCGUCCAUUAGCAUCACAGUAACCAUGGUAAUGUGAUCAGGACAAAACUCUUCUAACAACCUGAUGGGCUAGGCAGCCUGAAAGCAUCCUGUCACUCCCUGGAAUAGCAGGGACAUCCUUUUAGAGGCCUCCCAUUGCCUUUCAGGAAAUAAGAAUUGAAAGGCAGAAGGACAAGGGUGUAAGCUGGCCUGUCCGCAGUGAAGCGGGUAAGGGCGGUAUUACUGUUUACCUGGCUGUGAAUGUUAACAGGAGUGAAGACCCAAGAAGACGGAGCUCCUGAGAGGCUCUGCCUAUUGGAAGUAACCAUCCACAUUAACGUGUGCUGGCCAGCACUAGGAGAUGAAGAUGUGUCUCAACCUAGACUCUAAGUGAGUCAAGUCUCUCUUGUGACCCUGAGACCAAUCUUGUAUUCCAUGCGGGUUUGGUGUGCAUUUCUUAACCAUAUGAGACAUGAAUGUACAAACUGGUUUCAGCAUGGAUUAUCCCAAGAUGUCCUACAAAAGCAUAUGCAAUAUUGCAUUCGUGUGACUUGUCCUCAGCUAAGCCUGCAUACACAGAGGGUGUCUUCUGAGGAUGAUAUCACAGUCAAAAAAGUAUAAAAUGCACAAAGGAGCCAUCUGCUUUGAACAAUAAUUGAUAUACACAGGGCAGGAUCAGGUCUCUUGGAAGUUGGGUAAACACACAUGAGCUCAAAAAUAUGCUAAAGAUAUGUUUGAAAAAGAAAGUGAAUGUGACACAUAAAGUAGGAAAUGCAUUCUCAGUGCAGCAGGGUCAGCAUCAGGAAGGAACUUCCGCUUUUGGAACGCAGAGCUGACGGGUGCUCCGCUGAGGACACAGAGUUCAGAGUAAGUGAUAGCAUGCACAGGACGGGCUGAGCCAGCCAGGCAGAAGUAUAACAGCCGACUCCAGGAGCCUCUUGUAAGCAGUGAUGAAGACGGCCCUCGGGUCACAGAUCCCAAGGUCUGGAGGUCCUUCUGCAUCCAGUUUGCUCUGCGAGUGAGUAAGAGUUUCAUAAAGCGGUAAUUUCCCUAGAAAAUGAAAGGAAAAGGAGAGGAAGAGGAGAGUUUACUUUGUGGCCGUUUAUAACUCAAGGCCAACAGAAAUUUGACUGCUGCUCUGGGGAGGAGACAGCUAUAUGAACAGAUGAGCUUCUUCAGGUCUGGACACUAUCAGAUCUCGUACUGGAUUCUAACAAAAUGAAGAUGGCUUGCACAUGAAUCACAGAGAGGUGGAGAUGCGGCUGACCUACUGCAGUGUUUGCCACGGCCACCCAUGAACAACGAAGCAUUUCUAUUAAUGUUUAGUUCUGAUUCUUCGCUAUAACUGAUGUCAUCCAAUACCCAAACAUGGAUCCAAUUACAGGCCAGAAGUACAGGGAC